rnacentral:rRNA from 1 species
UACGAAGGGGGCUAGCGUUGCUCGGAAUUACUGGGCGUAAAGCGCACGUAGGCGGCUUUCUAAGUCGGGGGUGAAAUCCUGGAGCUCAACUCCAGAACUGCCUUCGAUACUGGAGAGCUCGAGUCCGGGAGAGGUGAGUGGAACUGCGAGUGUAGAGGUGAAAUUCGUAGAUAUUCGCAAGAACACCAGUGGCGAAGGCGGCUCACUGGACUGGUCCUGACGCUCAGGAGCGAAAGCGUGGGGAGCGAUCCGG